GAUGAAGAACGUAGCGAAAUGCGAUAAGUAGUGUGAAUUGCAGAAUUCAGUGAAUCAUCGAAUCUUUGAACGCACAUUGCGCCCCUUGGUAUUCCAUGGGGCAUGCCUGUUCGAGCGUCAUUUGUACCUUCAAGCUUUGCUUGGUGUUGGGUGUUUGUCUCGCCUUUGCGUGUAGACUCGCCUUAAAAUAAUUGGCAGCCGGCGUAUUGAUUUCGGAGCGCAGUACAUCUCGCGCUUUGCACUCAUAACGACAGCGUCCAAAAGUACAUUUUACACUCUUGACCUCGGAUCAGGUAGGGAUACCCGCUGAACUUAAGCAUAUCAAUAACGGAGGA
rnacentral:misc_RNA from 1 species